ACGAUGCGUAGCCGACCUGAGAGGGUGAUCGGCCACACUGGAACUGAGACACGGUCCAGACUCCUACGGGAGGCAGCAGUAGGGAAUCUUCCGCAAUGGGCGAAAGCCUGACGGAGCAACGCCGCGUGAGUGAUGAAGGUCUUCGGAUCGUAAAACUCUGUUAUUAGGGAAGAACAAAUGUGUAAGUAACUAUGCACGUCUUGACGGUACCUAAUCAGAAAGCCACGGCUAACUACGUGCCAGCAGCCGCGGUAAUACGUAGGUGGCAAGCGUUAUCCGGAAUUAUUGGGCGUAAAGCGCGCGUAGGCGGUUUUUUAAGUCUGAUGUGAAAGCCCACGGCUCAACCGUGGAGGGUCAUUGGAAACUGGAAAACUUGAGUGCAGAAGAGGAAAGUGGAAUUCCAUGUGUAGCGGUGAAAUGCSCAGAGAUAUGGAGGAACACCAGUGGCGAAGGCGACUUUCUGGUCUGUAACUGACGCUGAUGUGCGAAAGCGUGGGGAUCAAACAGGAUUAGAUACCCUGGUAGUCCACGCCGUAAACGAUGAGUGCUAAGUGUUAGGGGGUUUCCGCCCCUUAGUGCUGCAGCUAACGCAUUAAGCACCCCGCCUGGGGAGUACG
rnacentral:rRNA from 1 species